rnacentral:rRNA from 1 species
GACGAACCGUGCAAACGUUGUUCGGAAUCACUGGGCUUAAAGGGCGCGUAGGCGGGUUCCCAAGUCGGUGGUGAAAUCUUUCGGCCCAACCGGAAAGUGCCGCCGAUACUGGGAGUGCUCGAGGGAGGUGAGGGUGCGAGGGAACUCUAGGUGGAGCGGUGAAAUGCGUAGAUAUCUGGAGGAACGCCGGUGGCGAAAGCGCUCGACUGGACCUCUUCUGACGCUGAGGCGCGAAAGCCAGGGGAGCAAAGCGGG